rnacentral:rRNA from 1 species
CCCUUAGAUGUUCUGGGCGGCCCGCGCACUACAAUGGCGUGUGCAGCGAGUGCCGAAGUAGAGUUUUCCGAGGUAUUCUUGCAAUGCUCGUUUUGAUGGGGAUAGACCCUUGCAACUGUUGGUUUUGAACGAGGAAUUCCUUGUAAGCAUGGUUUAUCAUCCGACGCUGAAUGCGUCCCUGCCCUUUGUACACACCGCCCGUCGCUCCUACCGAUUGAAUGGUCCGGUGAAAUCUUCGGAUUGAGACUUUGUUUUCUUCACGGAAAACGCUGUUUUAAAAAGUUGAUUAAACCUUACCAUUUAGAGGAAGGUGAAGUCGUAACA